GAGCUUUCAUGCUGAGAUUUGCAAGAAGAUACAGUUAUCAGAAGAGCCUCAGGAAUGACAGAAGGAGGAACUGAGAUGGACUUGCUGUUUCUGUCACAACAGUGAUGGCAGAGUGGUAAACAAAGGAGUCCAAGGAUGAGUACUGAAAGACGCAUGCAGAGUACAAAAUUCAUUUCUGGGAAGAAAUAAAAGAAGAAAAACAACACUAC